rnacentral:rRNA from 1 species
AGAGUUUGAUCAUGGCUCAGGAUGAACGCUAGCGGCAGGCUUAAUACAUGCAAGUCGUGGGGCAGCAUGAGUGUAGCAAUACAUUUGAUGGCGACCGGCAAACGGGUGCGGAACACGUACGCAACCUUCCUUUAAGUGGGGGAUAGCCCGGGGAAACCCGGAUUAAUACCCCGUAAUAUUAUGAGGUGGCAUCAUCUUAUAAUUAUAGCUCCGGCGCUUAGAGAUGGGCGUGCGUCUGAUUAGGUAGUUGGCGGGGUAACGGCCCACCAAGCCUACGAUCAGUAACUGGUGUGAGAGCACGACCAGUCACACGGGCACUGAGACACGGGCCCGACUCCUACGGGAGGCAGCAGUAAGGAAUAUUGGUCAAUGGACGCAAGUCUGAACCAGCCAUGCCGCGUGGAGGAUGAAGGUCCUCUGGAUUGUAAACUUCUUUUAUCUGGGAAGAAACCCAUGGUUUCUACUGUGGUUGACGGUACCAGAUGAAUAAGCACCGGCUAACUCCGUGCCAGCAGCCGCGGUAAUACGGAGGGUGCAAGCGUUAUCCGGAUUCACUGGGUUUAAAGGGUGCGUAGGUGGGCAGGUAAGUCAGUGGUGAAAUCUCCGGGCUUAACCCGGAAACUGCCGUUGAUACUAUCUGUCUUGAAUAUCGUGGAGAUGAGCGGAAUAUGUCAUGUAGCGGUGAAAUGCUUAGAUAUGACAUAGAACACCGAUUGCGAAGGCAGCUCGUUACACGGUUAUUGACACUGAGGCACGAAAGCGUGGGGAUCAAACAGGAUUAGAUACCCUAGUAGUCC